CUGGCCGAACUUACCGAACUGGAUACCCACCACCUUGGAUAUAUAUAUAUCCUUAUAUAUAUAUAUAUAUAUAAGCUAUAUCCAAAUCUGUAUCGAUCUGCGGGACAGGGAUGUCGAGUUGCAUAAAAUAACUCGCUUUAUCAAAUUUCAACGAAAUCGGACAAUAAAUACACCUGUUAUUGACCCAAGACGCUAAAGGGGAGAUCGGUCCAUAUGCCACUUAUAUCCCAAAAAAAAAAAGGAUCUUAAACAUACUCGAUCGGUAUAAAUGGCAGCUAUAUCCAAAUCUUGACCGAACUUGGCCAUAUUGAACAUGGAUAUCGAGGAGCCUAACUAAGCCCUGAAACAAAUUCCAGCGAAAUCGCACAUAGGCGGAAAAGUUAAAACAUUUUCAACGUUGACAAUUAAAAGCGAGCGUCAUUCUGUGCUUCCACACAUUUUCAUUUUUCAACACGAAGUUUAAGUUAAUGAAAAUGGGAACACAAAACUGCUAAAAGAGUUGAGGAAUCCAGCCAUGUUAAAACUUCUCUACCAAGUAUUGUAGUUUCAUUGAUAUGAGAGAAGUAUCAUUAAUUCAUUAAUUUUUAUGGGAAAUUUUAUAUUUAUAUACAUAUGUCAUUGGUGGAGGAUGACUUGUAUUCGGCCCAGCCAAAAUGAACACAAUAUAAACGACAAUCUAUCUUUCUUGGCGUCCAAUAUUCAAGUUGGGUUGAGAGACUCAAUGCACCUUAAUGAACAGGGAGCCGACGUUAGAACAAUCACCAACUUUCAAGUAGCCUAUUUACUGAAGGACCAAUGAUUGGGGUCAUCCACACGCUCUGAUGGAGAACAUCAGCAAGGGCAAGUUCAUAUUGCCUUAAUUCAGAAGCCAUGGACUGCCCGGAACAAAGUUUCUGGACCGAACAUAUCAACUACCCAUUAUUCUAUGCUACCACUGGUACUCCGAAGGCCGAAGACCUGCGUGAUUUGUCAUACAAUUUUAAAUUAUAUAUUUUCCCCAGAGUUGUCAACUUCGAACGCAACAGGCAUUAGACAGGGAGACGGUGAAGCAUACCUGGCAUCACUUUAUCUGUCUUUCGACUCUACGACACCGCUACCCUCGUUAGCGCU